rnacentral:rRNA from 1 species
CCCUUAGAUGUUCUGGGCCGCACGCGCGCUACACUGAUGCAUUCAACGAGUCUAAAACCUGCUCUGAUAGGGGUGGGUAAUCUUUUGAAUGUGCAUCGUGAUUGGGAUAGAUGAUUGCAAUUUUUCAUCUUCAACGAGGAAUGCCUAGUAAACGCAAGUCAUCAGCUUGCAUUGAUUACGUCCCUGCCCUUUGUACACACCGCCCGUCGCUCCUACCGAUUAAUGAUCCGAUGAAUAUCAUGGAUUGAGGAUGCAAGCAGGUUCGCCUGUCUUCAUCUUCGAGAAGUGAAGUAAAUCUUAUCAUUUAGAGGAAGGAGAAGUCGUAACA